UGGGGAAUAUUGGACAAUGGGCGAAAGCCUGAUCCAGCCAUGCCGCGUGUGUGAAGAAGGUCUUCGGAUUGUAAAGCACUUUAAGUUGGGAGGAAGGGCAGUAAGCGAAUACCUUGCUGUUUUGACGUUACCGACAGAAUAAGCACCGGCUAACUCUGUGCCAGCAGCCGCGGUAAUACAGAGGGUGCAAGCGUUAAUCGGAAUUACUGGGCGUAAAGCGCGCGUAGGUGGUUCGUUAAGUUGAAUGUGAAAGCCCCGGGCUCAAGCUGGGAACUGCAUCCAAAACUGGCGAGCUAGAGUAGGGCAGAGGGUGGUGGAAUUUCCUGUGUAGCGGUGAAAUGCGUAGAUAUAGGAAGGAACACCAGUGGCGAAGGCGACCACCUGGGCUCAUACUGACACUGAGGUGCGAAAGCGUGGGGAGCAAACAGG
rnacentral:rRNA from 1 species